rnacentral:rRNA from 1 species
AGUGAACGCUGGCGGUAGGCCUAACACAUGCAAGUCGAACGGCAGCACAGUAAGAGCUUGCUCUUACGGGUGGCGAGUGGCGGACGGGUGAGGAAUACAUCGGAAUCUACUUUUUCGUGGGGGAUAACGUAGGGAAACUUACGCUAAUACCGCAUACGACCUACGGGUGAAAGCAAGGGAUCUUCGGACCUUGCGCGAUUGAAUGAGCCGAUGUCGGAUUAGCUAGUUGGCGGGGUAAAGGCCCACCAAGGCGACGAUCCGUAGCUGGUCUGAGAGGAUGAUCAGCCACACUGGAACUGAGACACGGUCCAGACUCCUACGGGAGGCAGCAGUGGGGAAUAUUGGACAAUGGGCGCAAGCCUGAUCCAGCCAUACCGCGUGGGUGAAGAAGGCCUUCGGGUUGUAAAGCCCCUUUGUUGGGAAAGAAAAGCAGCAGGUUAAUACCCCGCUGUUCUGACGGUACCCAAAGAAUAAGCACCGGCUAACUUCGUG